rnacentral:misc_RNA from 1 species
UCCGAGUUGACCCCGGCAGUCUCCCAUGAGUCCCCGCCAUUACGCGCUGGCAACAUGGAACGAGGGUUGCGCUCGUUGCGGGACUUAACCCAACAUCUCACGGCACGAGCUGACGACAGCCAUGCACCACCUGCGCAGAAGUCCCUUGCGGGAGGUGCUCACUUUCGUGAGCAUUUCCUCUGCAUGUCAAACCCAGGUAAGGUUCUGCGCGUUGCUUCGAAUUAAACCACAUGCUCCACCGCUUGUGCAGGCCCCCGUCAAUUCCUUUGAGUUUUAGCCUUGCGGCCGUACUCCCCAGGCGGGGUGCUUAAUGCGUUAGCUUCGGCACGGAGGGAGUCGACACCCCCCACGCCUAGCACCCAUCGUUUACGGCGUGGUCUAC